rnacentral:rRNA from 1 species
GCGCGAAACCUUCACAAUGCACGAAAGUGUGAUGAGGGUACUCCGAGUGCGCAUACAUUGUAUGUGCUUUUCUGCAGCGUAAAUAGUUGCAGGAAUAAGGGCUGGGCAAGACCGGUGCCAGCCGCCGCGGUAACACCGGCAGCCCUAGUGGUGGCCGCUUUUAUUGGGCCUAAAGCGUCCGUAGCCGGAUAGGCAAGUCUUUGAGUAAAUCCUACGUCUUAAGCGUGGGAAUUCUAAAGAUACUACCUGUCUUGAGGCCGGGAGAGGCUAGAGGUACUCCUGGGGUAGGGGUAAAAUCCUAUAAUCCUGGGGGGACCACCGAUGGCGAAGGCAUCUAGCUGGAACGGGCCUGACGGUGAGGGACGAAACCCAGGGGAGCGAGCCGGAUUAGAUACCCGGGUAGUCCUGGGCGUAAAUGAUGUGGGCUUGGUGUGAGCGCAUCGACGAGGUGCGUUUGUGCCGUAGGGAAGCCGUUAAGCCCACCGCCUGGGGAGUACGGUCGCAAGGCUGAAACU